GACGAACGCUGGCGGCGUGCUUAACACAUGCAAGUCGAGCGGUAAGGCCCUUUCGGGGGUACACGAGCGGCGAACGGGUGAGUAACACGUGGGUGACCUGCCCUCAGCUCUGGGAUAAGCCUGGGAAACCGGGUCUAAUACUGGAUAUGACUCCAUGACGCAUGUUGUGGGGUGGAAAGCCUUGUGCGGCUGAGGAUGGGCCCGCGGCCUAUCAGCUUGUUGGUGGGGUGAGGCCUACCAAGGCGACGACGGGUAGCCGGCCUGAGAGGGCGACCGGCCACACUGGGACUGAGACACGGCCCAGACUCCUACGGGAGGCAGCAGUGGGGAAUCUUGCGCAAUGGGCGAAAGCCUGACGCAGCGACGCCGCGUGAGGGACGACGGCCU
rnacentral:rRNA from 1 species